rnacentral:lncRNA from 1 species
CAAUGCACUGUCUUGAACUCCAACCUCAAAGUGUUUCUUCGACCUCGCCUCCAUCCGAACACCCAUCUCUUUCAGGACCAUAAGCAGCUCUGCUCCUCGUCUCCCACGCUGUGGACAGGGAUCCCUGGUAGGCACUGUUUUCUCUGUCCCUAGGAUGCCCAGGUCCUUCGGCUGCAGGCUCCCGUCACCCAGCCCUUGCUCCCUGCACAGGGUGGUACUCAGUGAAUGUGUGGUGGCUCUUCGUGGGAAGAGAGGGCAGAAGAAAACCUGUCCCCUCCACUUGCUUUCCUGCUGUGGCUUUUCUCAGCUCAAGUGCUUCCCUUCCCAACUGACCACAUAUGAGGCCUCACUUUGUGCUCCAUCCAUUCAAAACCAAGCGUCCAAAUGAUGCUCCCUUGGGGAUUUUCUUUAGAACAAAGACAGUUUUCAUUAGCACUCUUUUCUCCAGCUCCUGGGCUCUUUCACCUUUCGUGAACUGAGCCCCCUUCUGAAGUAAGGCAUGGGCACCCCGAAUGGAAAUGGCUGGAUUAAUGCGCAUGCAUGUCCACACUGGUGCAGGGCACCUGCUUUUCUGGGACAAUUGCCAUCUGGAAUCAGACGCCUUCCUCAUUGUGUGCCUAUUUCUGGACAAAGAAAAGGAGAACUGGAUGAGAAGCAGGCCUCCUCUCCCACAUCCUCCAGCCGCCUGGCAGGCCCAACUAAGACACCCGCUCCAGCUCAGGUGGUUUACGUGGCUCUAGGCCUUGGGUGCUGCCCUGCCUGCUCUGCUGAUGGCUGCCUACCGCACCCCACCACCACCAGAGCAGCAGAGUUCCCCUCAGUAGCUUUCAGGGGCUGGAAGGAAAGUGGGACGCCUCUCCCCGCAGGUAAGGCUACCAUUGGUCUCCUGGCUCUCGGUGGGCCAGGGGCCCAUCCCUGGAUAGCAGCUGUGGGGAAAGACAUGGCUCUGGAGUUGGAGACGGGAGUCAGAUGCUGA